GUGUCUGCUUUGGCAACACAUACACAUAUACUAAAACUGGAUCUAUACAGAGAUUAGCAUGGCCCCUGCACAAGAAUGAUGCAAAAAUUCAUGAAGUGUUAUAUUUUUGA